GACGAACGCUGGCGGCGUGCUUAACACAUGCAAGUCGAACGGAAAGGCCCUGCUUUUGUGGGGUGCUCGAGUGGCGAACGGGUGAGUAACACGUGAGUAACCUGCCCUUGACUUUGGGAUAACUUCAGGAAACUGGGGCUAAUACCGGAUAGGAGCUCCUGCUGCAUGGUGGGGGUUGGAAAGUUUCGGCGGUUGGGGAUGGACUCGCGGCUUAUCAGCUUGUUGGUGGGGUAGUGGCUUACCAAGGCUUUGACGGGUAGCCGGCCUGAGAGGGUGACCGGCCAAAUGGGGACUGGGAUACGGCCCAGACUCCUACGGGAGGCAGCAGUGGGGAAUAUUGAACAAUGGGCGGAAGCCUGAUGCAGCAACGCCGCGUGCGGGAUGACGGCCUUCGGGUUGUAAACCGCUUUCGCCUGUGACGAAGCGUGAGUGACGGUAAUGGGUAAAGAAGCACCGGCUAACUACGU
rnacentral:rRNA from 1 species